GUAAUGCGUAGGAAGCUGCCCGAUAGAGGGGGAUACCAGUUGGAAACGACUGUUAAUACCGCAUAAUGUCUACGGACCAAAGUGUGGGACCUUCGGGCCACAUGCUAUCGGAUGCGCCUACGUGGGAUUAGCUAGUUGGUGAGGUAAUGGCUCACCAAGGCGACGAUCUCUAGCUGGUUUGAGAGGAUGAUCAGCCACACUGGAACUGAGACACGGUCCAGACUCCUACGGGAGGCAGCAGUGGGGGAUAUUGGACAAUGGGCGCAAGCCUGAUCCAGCCAUGCCGCGUGUGUGAAGAAGGCCUUCGGGUUGUAAAGCACUUUCAGCGAGGAGGAAGGGUGGUGUGUUAAUAGCACAUCAUUUUGACGUUACUCGCAGAAGAAGCACCGGCUAACUCUGUGCCAGCAGCCGCGGUAAUACAGAGGGUGCAAGCGUUAAUCGGAAUUACUGGGCGUAAAGCGCACGUAGGCGGUUUUUUAAGUCAGAUGUGAAAGCCCCGGGCUCAACCUGGGAAUUGCAUUUGAAACUGGGGAACUAGAGUGUGUGAGAGGGGGGUAGAAUUCCAAGUGUAGCGGUGAAAUGCGUAGAGAUUUGGAGGAAUACCAGUGGCGAAGGCGGCCCCCUGGCACAACACUGACGCUCAGGUG
rnacentral:rRNA from 1 species